rnacentral:tRNA from 1 species
GGAGAGGUGCGGGAGUGGUUUAACCGGCGCGCCUGGAGAGCGCGUGGGCACUAAAACUGCCCCGUGGGUUCGAAUCCCACCCUCUCCGCCA